UACGGAGGGUCCAAGCGUUAUCCGGAAUCAUUGGGUUUAAAGGGUCCGUAGGCGGAUUAAUAAGUCAGAGGUGAAAUCCCGCAGCUCAACUGUGGAACUGCCUUUGAAACUGUUAGUCUUGAGUUAUUGUGAAGUGGUUAGAAUAUGUAGUGUAGCGGUGAAAUGCUUAGAGAUUACAUGGAAUACCGAUUGCGAAGGCAGAUCACUAACAAUAUACUGACGCUGAUGGACGAAAGCGUGGGGAGCGAAC
rnacentral:rRNA from 1 species